rnacentral:rRNA from 1 species
UACGUAGGGGGCGAGCGUUGUCCGGAUUUAUUGGGCGUAAAGAGCUCGUAGGCGGCUCGGUAAGUCAGGUGUGAAAACUCUAGGCUCAACCUAGAGACGCCACCUGAUACUGCCGUGGCUAGAGUCCGGUAGGGGAGCAUGGAAUUCCUGGUGUAGCGGUGAAAUGCGCAGAUAUCAGGAGGAACACCGGUGGCGAAGGCGGGUCUCUGGGCCGAUACUGACGCUGAGGAGCGAAAGCGUGGGGAGCGAACAGG